ensembl:snRNA U5 U5 spliceosomal RNA
UCUAGUUUCUCUUCAGAUUGUAUAAAUCUUUCGCCUUUUACUAAAGAUUUCCGUGGAGAGGAACAACUCAGA